rnacentral:rRNA from 1 species
UUGACGGGGACCCGCACAAGCGGUGGAUGAUGUGGAUUAAUUCGAUGCAACGCGAAGAACCUUACUACCCUUGACAUGUCCGGAACUUGCCAGAGAUGGCUUGGUGCCCGAAAGGGAAUCGGAACACAGGUGCUGCAUGGCUGUCGUCAGCUCGUGUCGUGAGAUGUUGGGUUAAGUCCCGCAACGAGCGCAACCCUUAUCAUUAGUUGCUACGCAAGGGCACUCUAAUGAGACUGCCGGUGACAAACCGGAGGAAGGUGGGGAUGACGUCAAGUCCUCAUGGCCCUUAUGGGUAGGGCUUCACACGUCAUACAAUGGUCGGUACAGAGGGUUGCCAAGCCGCGAGGCGGAGCCAAUCCCACAAAGCCGAUCGUAGUCCGGAUUGUUCUCUGCAACUCGAGAGCAUGAAGUCGGAAUCGCUAGUAAUCGCAGGUCAGCAUACUGCGGUGAAUACGUUCCCGGGUCUU